UAGGGGGCAAGCGUUAUCCGGAUUUACUGGGUGUAAAGGGAGCGUAGACGGACAUGCAAGUCUGAUGUGAAAAUCCGGGGCCCAACCCCGGAAUUGCAUUGGAAACUGUGUGCCUGGAGUGUCGGAGAGGCAAGUGGAAUUCCUGGUGUAGCGGUGAAAUGCGUAGAUAUCAGGAGGAACACCAGUGGCGAAGGCGGCUUGCUGGACGAUGACUGACGUUGAGGCUCGAAAGCGUGGGGAGCAAA
rnacentral:rRNA from 1 species